GUGUUCUGUCCACUCCAGAUCUUGGGAGCCCAGCGUCCCCAGUGAGGCCGAGUCCAAGGCCGGCCAGGGACCUGUAGGGAGGGGAAGAGCGGCUGGCCUAGGCCCAGGUCUGGCCUCCUGCCACCCAGGGCUUUGUUUUUCUUCCCUGUUGCUAUGGAGGAGCCCCGUGUCCCAGCUGUGGGGCUCUGCUGACGGAAGAGGGGCCGUGUCUCUUGGCUGUCUCUCGGGUCCAAAACUGCGGCCUCUUUCGCAAAAAGACCUUCGGACGUCUGUGAACCCCGUGAGGGCCCAGGGCUCAGACCUCUUGUGCAGGGAUAUGAAGUCUUGAACGGAACCAUGAGCUCCCGACCUGGAACUGCUCUUGGAUGUUAUCGAGUCCCAAGUGUUCCUUUUACAAAUUGGGAGACUGAGGCCCAGACUGGGUAAUCAUCGUUACAAUGUUGCUGUUACUGUGUACAAUG